ensembl:lncRNA
AUUUCUUCACACAAAAGCUCUUCAGUCUGAUCCGUUCUCUCGUCAACAUUCUUCCUUUUAAUAACGGCCGUAUUGUGCUGUGAAAACGGAGACGUGAGACUCCGUAAAGGACGUAGUUAGCGGCAUAAACUAGGCCAGGCUUGAAGUUAACAUUGCUGCCGAGCUGCGACGCGACUGCGGUGAGGACGCGGUUAUAUGUUUUAUAUAAACAAAAAAAAACUAACCCCAUGUCCUUAUUAUGUUAACUGUUGGGAAAAAUGUUAAAUAUUGAACUGCAAAGUAUUAAUACGUGUUUGAUACCCUUUUUUUGCAUUGAAUCAUACUGGGAUGUUAACUGAAUCUGAUUGGCUGGACCUACCAAAAGAAAAAGCCGCCACUGGUUUUGAGAGCAAAUUUCUUGCAUUGCAAACAAAAAACAAGUUUGUAAGUAAAAAUAUAUCACCUGAGAAAAAAUAUUUUGAUGAAUGAAUGUUUGGCUGCAAAACAAAAACUUUUUCUCUCAAAAAAAUAAGGUUUUGGUCUCAAAAACAACCCCUUCUGUCUAAAAAAAAGUUUGUAGAGAGUUUGUACUUAGUGGGUGGGGCUUACACCGCUGAAUGAAUGAAUAUAUAUAUAUGUGAGCAAAUUUAUAUAUAUAUAUAUAUAUAUAUAUAUAUAUAUAUAUAUAUAUAUGUAUACAUGUGUAUAUAUAUGUGUGUAUAUGUAUAUAUGCGUGUAUAUAUGUGUGUGUAUAUAUGUGUAUAUAUAUAUAUGUGUGUAUAUAUAUGUUUAUGUAUAUGUAUAUAUGUGUAUGUGUGUAUAUAUGUAUAUAUGUGUAUGUGUGUAUAUAUGUAUAUAUAUGUGUGUAUAUAUGUAUGUAUAUAUAUGUGUGAAAUAUACGUGUAUAUAUGUGUGUAUACAUGUAUAUGUGUGUAUAUAUACAUGUAUAUAUAUGUAGGUAUAUAUAUGUGUAUAUAUGUAUAUAUAUAUAUAUAUAUAUAUAUAUAUUAGUUAGUUAGUUAGUUUCAUAAGCAAAACUAAUAAAUAAUUUAUUUUCAGUUUAUAUAUUUUUACUUACAAACUUGGUUUUUGUUUGUAAUAACAAAAACCAAGUUUGCUCUCAAAACAGUUUUUUUUGUUUGCAUAAUAAAGACACAAAUACCUACCUUCAUAAAAACAUUCAUGAUAAUACGCCCAAUGUAAUCAAUAUUUAUUUGUGAAUAUUUGUUUUCAUUAUUAAAAAGUAACAUAGAUUUUAACACCAUUGUUAAUUAUUGAGAGUGAUAAUGAUGAAUGUAUUUUUUAGCUUUUCGAAGGACGUGCGAUUUUUAGCCGAACACACAAAUUAGCCACCAGAAAUAUAAUAAAUGAAUGUGUUUUUAAAAGAAGUAACAUAAGAUGGAGGAAGAAAUAACACUAAAUAUAAGUUAUAUUUCAAAUUACAAAAAGGCUCCCAUGAAAUGCUUAUACAAAUUCCCCAGAAAACAAGUGAAAUUUAAUGAUUAAGUUGUAUUUAUUAGACUUACUAAGCAAUUGGAACAUAGAUCUAUUUUGCGUUUGUGGAUUACACAAAACAAACACAAAGCUAAAAUAGCUUUGUGUUUGUUUGUUUUUGCCAAUUUGUGCUAGCCCAAUUCUUGAACAAGACAUUGUGAAACAUAGUUUACCUCAUAAGUCAUUACGGGGUGACCCAUGGUCUUCAAAGCCAUGUUAUGCCUUUAAAAUCAAACAAAUAUGUUCUAGGUCAAGUUAUGUUGUGUUAUUUGUGUGUUAUGUGUUUUUUAAUGAAUAUUAAUAUAAAAAUAGCAUUUGUUAAAGAUAGUAUAAUUGUCGGUGCCCCUAUAGCAUUUAUCUGUACCAGCAACUGCACCGGGCCCACUGGUGAGCACCAGGGCGCCACCUAUUGGGCUGCGGGGACAAUGCAAGUGAUUCAAUUAAAUUAAAAUAAUUUAUUUGUGGGAGAAGAAUUUGCGUUUUUAUUUGAAUGUGCUCUAGAAUUAAAAUAAAUAAAACCAUCACACAGUUAUAUUUUAAUAUAUUACCACAUCAAGAAACAUCAUCAGGCGGAGGGACCACUGUCGACCUUUUGGAUCUGUGACACAAAGUGAAUCGAUCUUUGCAACAACAAAGUGAUGCUGCAUGCAACUCUCCACAAGUUAAAGGCGAGGCAGGUUUAUCUGUAUAGCACAUUUCAACAUUAAGGCAAUUUAGUCCUUUACAUAAAACCCAUUUAGAACUACUAAGACAUAAGGCCAAAAGAAACAAUCCAAAAACAAUAUAGAACAUAGAGGCUAGAAAUAGAAUAGAUAUAAUAAUAAUAUAGUAAAAUGCAGAAACACAGGAAAUUGGUCAACAUCCUUCACUGUCUCUUAAUUAAAGUCUGCAGCCAACAGCAAAGUCAGCAGCUUUUUAUGUGGAGCAGAAGAAGUGAACGCUGCUUCUCGGGUUUGGUUCUGCCUCUCAGGCGACCGGAGGGGUCGGGAUGGUUUGUGAGGUCAGACGUGUAUUUUGGCCCUUUUUAAACCGCCAGCAGUCUUUGUUGACAGGAAGCCAGUGCAAAGACCUCAGAACUGGAGGGAUGUGAUCCUCUUUCUGGUCUUCUUGAGGACUCAAGCUGCAGUCUUCUGAUUGACUCGCACAGAGAACUGUGAACACAUAAAACUCCAAACAGUGGGUUGAAGAAAUAGCAAAAUCUGGAUUUGGAUGCAUAAUUUAGUUUUGGUCUCAACUUCUUUGUAAUGAGAUAUGUAUUGUAUAUAUAAUUUCCUCUGCUCAGAAUUUGCAUGCCCAUUUUUCAGAAGAGUAUCUGCAACCACAUGGUCUUUUUGAAUAAUUUGUGUGACGUAAUUGAAGGGAACACCUUGUUCAGAUGUGUACAUAAUAGUGUAUGUCUUACUGGUUAAGAGUAAAUGAAAAUGGCACACAGCAGAAAUAAAAAAGUUUCAAGUUUUCAAAACAAAUGUGGUAUGAUGCAUUUGAAGCUUUAAAUCUCUCCCAAAUCCAGUGUUGGGCAAGUUACUGAAAAUUACUAAUUAGUUACACGUUAUGUUAAAGGUAAUUCAAUUACUUUAUUACCAGUUACUGUAUCCAUCCAUUCAUCGUCAAACCGCUUAUCCUGCACACAGGGUCUUGGGGGGCUGGAGUCUGUCCCAGCCAACUUCAGGUGAUAGACGGGGUUCAUCCUGGACUGGUCACCAGCCAAUCACAGGGCUACACAGAGACACACAACCACUCACACGCACAUUCAUACACCUACAGGCAAUUUAGAGUCACCAAUCCACCUGAUCCCCAGAGCGGGUCUCUGGACUGUGGGAGGAAGCCGGAGAACCCGGAGAGAACAGUCAAACACAAUAAACAUAUUUAUUAGACCUAUUUAUUGUAAUGAACAGGGCAACAGGCCUUCAAAUCGAGCAGUAGUACAAGAGUCAUUUUAAAUACUUAACUAAACCGACCACUCAGCUCUGCCUGGCUCAUCGGCUGCAGUCCGUGUGAAGUCUCGGUUGUCAGCAUCUGCAGCGCUGCGCCGCUACCAGCUUUGUGUAAGCAUGUUGUUUCAUGGUGCGGGACCCGAUGCUCUUUACGUGCACGUACGGGGACUAUUUUUUCUACUACUGAAAUGAGAUACACAACGCUUGGUGGCUGCAACUAUUUUGUGCUGAAAGGCAGCUAUUUACUUACUAUUUGCCCCCGAACUGUUACAUUAUGGGACGAUAAAGUACAGCCUCUCGUACCUUAUUGCUUUAUUGAUUGAUUAGAUUGGUUUAUCAUUGCGCCACCAAGGUCCUGCGAGCUAAAAAAGGCCUAUCUUGUCUUCUUGUGUGCAAGUGUUAAUUUUUUCACAAAAGAGAGGAACGCAAGUAACAAACUCAUUUAAAUUUCAGUUACUGUAACUGCAUUACUUGAUUUAAAAAAAUACUUUGUCACAUGCUCCUUACCGCUAAAAUAUCUGGAAUUACAGUAAUGCGUUACUUUGUAAAGCGUUACUCCAAACACUGCCCAAAUCAUAGCCUCAUAAGUGGACAUUCUCUCUGCAAAGUCUGACUUAAUUGAAGCAGAAAAAAUGACGGGGUUUUAGGUAUUGACAGUUUAGACAAGGUCUCCAAAAUUGCCGUUUUGGCACAUCUGUGACUUUUUGUAUUUUAUCAUGUACAAAGUGAUGGAGAGAGGGCUAGCGCAAAUCUUGGCACUGGCAACUCGCUGAGGCACUUCCUGUUGCAGGUUGCAGUACCGCGGCAAAUUGUGGAAACUGCAUCGAGUUUACGGCAACUGCCUCGCCUCAUGUGAGUGAGGUACCUCGGGCGGUGCAACAAAUUCAGGGGCCGGUUCAUCGGUUGAGAGAGGUACCUCGGGCGAUGCCUCGAGUUAAAGGAGCAUUGCCACGACCUCUAUGUGCCUCGGCUCAUAGAGGCACUUGGAGUUUACGGGAGCGGUGCCACAACUUUUAAGGGAUAGGUGCCACGACUACUAAGGGAGUGGUGCCACGAGUUUAAAGGAGCAUUGCCUCGGUCGAGAGAGGUACCUCUAGCGGUACCUCGAGUUAAAGCAGCCUUGCCACGACCUAAGGGAGCGGUGCCUCGGCUGAUAGAGGUACAAGGAGUUUAAGGGAGCGGUGCCUCGGCUGAUAGAGGUACAAGGAGUUUAAGGGAGCGGUGCCUCGACUGAUAGAGGUACCAGGAGUUUAAGGGAGAGGUGCCUCGGCUGAUAGAGGUACAAGGAGUUUAAGGGAGCGGUGCCACGUCUGUUAAGGGAGCGGUGCCUCGGCUGAUAGAGGUACAAGGAGUUUAAGGGAUAGGUCCCACGUCUGUGGUGCCUCGGCUGAUAGAGAUACAAGGAGUUUAAGGGAGCGGUGCCUCGGCUGAUAGAGGUACCAGAAGUUUAAGGGAGAGGUGCCUCGGCUGAUAGAGGUACAAGGAGUUUAAGGGAUAGGUGUCACGUCUGUGGUGCCUCGGCUGAUAGAGGUACAAGGAGUUUAAGGGAGAGGUGCCACGACUGUUAAGGGAGCAGUGCCACGGAGGGUGAGGGUGCUGGGAUUGUUUGAGAGAGGUGCCGCGGCAGUUUCUGUUAAUUUUAGUAUUCAUGUGUGUAGUGGCUAUUUGUCCAUAAACUUAAACAAAAACAAAUAAUAACAAACUUCUCAAAUGGCCACUCGAGGCUACGUCAUGGUUAGGCUUUACGCAGGUUCAGAGG